rnacentral:rRNA from 1 species
UACGGAGGAUGCAAGCGUUAUCCGGAAUGAUUGGGCGUAAAGCGUCCGCAGGUGGCUAUGUAAGUCUGCUGUUAAAGAGUGAGGCUCAACCUCAUAAGAGCAGUGGAAGCUACAUGGCUAGAGUGCGUUCGGGGCAGAGGGAAUUCCUGGUGUAGCGGUGAAAUGCGUAGAGAUCAGGAAGAACACCGGUGGCGAAAGCGCUCUGCUAGGCCGCAACUGACACUGAGGGACGAAAGCUAGGGGAGCGAAUGGG